rnacentral:lncRNA from 1 species
AACUCUUUGAAGCAUGUUCCCAUCCAGGUUCCAGCCGUCCUCACCUCAGGAGGACGUAGCUUUGUGCCUUUCAAAGCCCUUUCUCAUCUAUCAUCAGGGACUCAGAAGAUGAGCCAGGUUUACAGCCCUGCCUUGAUGCGGAGUGGUUUUCAUCGUCAUGGCCUUCAAGUCGAGUAGGCUGAGAAGGAAGAGGAGGAGCUGGUCUUACUGUCUCAGAGGUGGAAGAGGUGGAGGAGCCGGAAGGGGGAGGCCGGAGAGUAGUGCCGAGUUCCUUGAAGAAAAUUAUUUUAUGGACAAUGUAUGAGUCUGUUUUCAUGCUGCUGAUAAAGACAUACCCAGACUCACAGUUCUACAUGGCUGGGGAGGCCUCACAAUCGUGAUGGAAGGUGAAAGACACGUCUUACAUGGCCACAGGGAGAAUGAGAGUCCCCGUACAGAACCAUCAGAUCACAUGAGACUUACUCACUGCCAUGAGAACAGCAUGGGGGAAACCGCCCCCAUGAUUCAGUUAUCUCCCACCGGGUCCCUCCCACAACACGUGGAAAUUAUGGGAGCUAUAAUUCAAGAGAUUUGAGUGGGGACACAGCCAGACCAUAUCAGACAAGAAUCAUCUUCUCAAAUUUGGGGUGCGUGGCUGAGUGCACACACCUGUGAACACUGCG